rnacentral:rRNA from 1 species
UCGANCGAGAAAAUACCUUCGGGUAUGAGUAAAGUGGCGCACGGGUGAGUAACACUUGGGUAACGUACCCUUAUGCUGGGGAUAACUGGGGGAAACUUCAGCUAAUACCGAAUAGUCCCUUUUGGGUAAAGCCGUAAGGCGCGUAAGGAUCGGCCCGAGUCCCAUUAGCUAGUUGGUGCGGUAAAGGCGUACCAAGGCGACGAUGGGUAGCUGGUCUGAGAGGAUGAUCAGCCACACUGGUACUGGAACACGGACCAGACUCCUGCGGGAGGCAGCAGUUAGGAAUUUUGCGCAAUGGGGGCAACCCUGACGAAGCAACGCCGCGUGAGUGAAGAAGGCCUUCGGGUCGUAAAGCUCUUUCAGUAGGAAAGAAAAUGACGGUACCUACAGAAGAAGCACCGGCUAACUCCGUGCCAGCAGCCGCGGUAAUACGGAGGGUGCGAGCGUUAUUCGGAAUGACUGGGCGUAAAGCGCGCGUAGGCGGCAAACUAAGUCUGAUGUGAAAUCCCUUGACUCAAUCAAGGAAGUGCAUUGGAAACUGGUAUGCUAGAGUACAGGAGAGGAGAGCGGANUUCCAGGUGUAGAGGUGAAAUUCGUAGAUAUCUGGAGGAACAACGGANGCGAANGCGGCUCUCUGGACUGAAACUGACGCUGANGUGCGAAAGUGUGGGUAGCAAACANNANUAGAUACCCUGGUAGUCCACACCGUAAACGAUGAAUACUAGAUGUCGGGAGUUCUUACCCUUUCGGCGUCNCANCUAACGCANUAAGUAUUCCGCCUGGGGACUANNGNCGCAAGAUUAAAACUCAAAGAANNUGACGGGGGCCCGCACAAG